GCCUCAGGCCUACCUCCUCAUCGAGGAGGACAUCCGGGACCUUGCGGCCAGUGAUGAUUACAGAGGAUGCCUGGAUCUGAAGCUAGAGGAAUUGAAAUCCUUUGUCCUACCCUCCUGGAUGGUGGAGAAGAUGAGAAAGUAUAUGGAGACACUACGGACAGAGAAUGAGCAUCGUGCUGUUGAAGCACCUCCACAGACCUGAGGCCGGGUCCCCUGGCCACACUUGGCAGCCCUCCUCCAAAGCCCUCUUCCUCACGUGGCUGAGGCCACCGCUGGGACUGCUCCUAGAUGGAUCUCAGCGGCAUUAAGCUGUGCCUGAGCGAGUUUGUAGUGACUCACUGCACAGCACCCCCAGACUAGCAUGUGGUUCUAUAUUUGUAAAGUUAUUGGGAUAAGAAACAAUUAAACAGUUUGUAGU
rnacentral:lncRNA from 1 species